rnacentral:rRNA from 1 species
UACAGAGGGGGCAAGCGUUGUUCGGAAUUACUGGGCGUAAAGGGCGCGUAGGCGCCUUCUAAGUCGAACGUGAAAUCCCCGGGCUCAACCCGGGAACUGCGUCCGAUACUGGAAGGCUUGAAUCCGGGAGAGGGAUGCGGAAUUCCAGGUGUAGCGGUGAAAUGCGUAGGUAUCUGGAGGAACACCGGUGGCGAAGGCGGCAUCCUGGACCGGCAUUGACGCUGAGGCGCGAAAGCCAGGGGAGCAAACGGG